UACGAAGGGUGCAAGCGUUACUCGGAAUUACUGGGCGUAAAGCGUGCGUAGGUGGUUGUUUAAGUCUGCUGUGAAAGCCCUGGGCUCAACCCGGGAAUUGCAGUGGAUACUGGGCGACUAGAGUGUGGUAGAGGAUAGUGGAAUUUCCGGCGUAGCAGUGAAAUGCGUAGAGAUCGGAAGGAACAUCUGUGGCGAAGGCGACUAUCUGGGCCAACACUGACACUGAGGCACGAAAGCGUGGGGAGCAAACAGG
rnacentral:rRNA from 1 species